rnacentral:rRNA from 1 species
UACGUAGGGGGCAAGCGUUGUCCGGAAUCAUUGGGCGUAAAGAGCGUGUAGGCGGCUCGGUAAGUCCGCUGUAAAAGUCCAGGGCUCAACCCUGGAAAGCCGGUGGAAACUGUCGGGCUAGAGUCCGGAAGAGGCGAGUGGAAUUCCUGGUGUAGCGGUGAAAUGCGCAGAUAUCGGGAAGAACACCCGUGGCGAAGGCGGCUCUCUGGGACGGUACUGACGCUGAGACGCGAAAGCGUGGGGAGCGAACAGG